rnacentral:rRNA from 1 species
CCAUGCAAGUCGAACGGCAGCACGGGGGCUACCCUGGUGGGGAGUGGCGAACGGGUGAGUAAUACAUCGGAACGUGUCCUGUAGUGGGGGAUAGCCCGGCGAAAGCCGGAUUAAUACCGCAUACGCUCUACGGAGGAAAGGGGGGGAUCUUAGGACCUCCCGCUACAGGGGCGGCCGAUGGGAGAUUAGCUAGUUGGUGGGGUAAAGGCCUACCAAGGCGACGAUCUGUAGCUGGUCUGAGAGGACGACCAGCCACACUGGGACUGAGACACGGCCCAGACUCCUACGGGAGGCAGCAGUGGGGAAUUUUGGACAAUGGGGGCAACCCUGAUCCAGCAAUGCCGCGUGUGUGAAGAAGGCCUUCGGGUUGUAAAGCACUUUUGUCCGGAAAGAAAACGCCGUGGUUAAUACCCGUGGCGGAUGACGGUACCGGAAGAAUAAGCACCGGCUAACUACGUGCCAGCAGCCGCGGUAAUACGUAGGGUGCAAGCGUUAAUCGCAAUUACUGGGCGUAAAGCGUGCGCAGGCGGUCCGCUAAGACAGAUGUGAAAUCCCCGGGCUUAACCUGGGAACUGCAUUUGUGACUGGCGGGCUAUAGUAUGGCAGAGGGGGGUAGAAUUCCCCGUGUAGCAGUGAAAUGCGUACAGAUGUGGAGGAAUACCGAUGGCGAAGGCAGCCCCCUGGGCCAAUACUGACGCUCAUGCGCGAAAGCGUGGGGAGCAAACAGGAUUAUAUACCCUGGUUAGUCCACGCCCUAAACGAUGUCCACUAGUUGUCGGGUCUUCAUUGACUUGUUAAUGUAGCUAACGCGUGUAGUUGACUGCCUGUGGAGUACAGUCGCACGAUUAAAACUCUAAUGAAUUUGACCGUG